UACGGGGGGGGCAAGCGUUGUUCGGAAUUACUGGGCGUAAAGGGCUUGUAGGCGGCUUGCUAAGUCAGACGUGAAAUCCCUCAGCUUAACUGGGGAACUGCGUCUGAUACUGGCGAGCUUGAGUGCAGGGGAGGAACGCGGAAUUCCAGGUGUAGCGGUGAAAUGCGUAGAUAUCUGGAGGAACACCGGUGGCGAAGGCGGCGUUCUGGACUGUAACUGACACUGAGAAACGAAAGCCAGGGUAGCAAACGGG
rnacentral:rRNA from 1 species